rnacentral:rRNA from 1 species
UACGAAGGGGGCUAGCGUUGCUCGGAAUCACUGGGCGUAAAGCGCACGUAGGCGGAUUGCUAAGUCAGGGGUGAAAUCCCGGAGCUCAACUCCGGAACUGCCUUUGAUACUGGCGAUCUUGAGUUCGGGAGAGGUGAGUGGAACUGCGAGUGUAGAGGUGAAAUUCGUGGAUAUUCGCAAGAACACCAGUGGCGAAGGCGGCUCACUGGCCCGAUACUGACGCUGAGGUGCGAAAGCGUGGGGAGCGAACAGG